AUAUAUACUAUUACUUGUCAAAACAAUUGGAUAUACGAAUAUGUAUAUUAUACAAUGUUUGCUCUUAUUUCAUAUACUUGAGUAUGUGCAAGUUAUGAUGCACAUAGAUUGUUUUGUUAUAAUACGGUGCGAGUAGCAAGAUUAUUUAUGCUCAGCAAUAGAUUGUUUUUUAGAUUUUUUAUAUUGUGCAAAUUUUGUCGUUAUUUUUUUAUAUCAUGACAUAUCAUAACAGUUUCUUUUCAUUCCUUUCAUUUCAU
rnacentral:lncRNA from 1 species